rnacentral:rRNA from 1 species
GACGAACGCUGGCGGCGUGCUUAACACAUGCAAGUCGAACGGAAAGGCCUCUGCUUGCAGGGGUGCUCGAGUGGCGAACGGGUGAGUAACACGUGGGUGAUCUGCCUUGUACUCUGGGAUAAGCUUGGGAAACUGGGUCUAAUACCGGAUAGGAACUGCCUUUAGUGUGGUGGUUGGAAAGUUUUUUCGGUGCAAGAUGAGCUCGCGGCCUAUCAGCUUGUUGGUGGGGUAAUGGCCUACCAAGGCGUCGACGGGUAGCCGGCCUGAGAGGGUGUACGGCCACAUUGGGACUGAGAUACGGCCCAGACUCCUACGGGAGGCAGCAGUGGGGAAUAUUGCACAAUGGGCGGAAGCCUGAUGCAGCGACGCCGCGUGGGGGAUGACGGCCUUCGGGUUGUAAACUCCUUUCGACAGGGACGAAGCGCAAGUGACGGUACCUGUAUAAGAAGCACCGGCUAACUACGUGCCAGCAGCCGCGGUAAUACGUAGGGUGCGAGCGUUGUCCGGAAUUACUGGGCGUAAAGAGCUCGUAGGUGGUUUGUCGCGUCGUCUGUGAAAUUCCGGGGCUUAACUCCGGGCGUGCAGGCGAUACGGGCAUAACUUGAGUGCUGUAGGGGAGACUGGAAUUCCUGGUGUAGCGGUGAAAUGCGCAGAUAUCAGGAGGAACACCGAUGGCGAAGGCAGGUCUCUGGGCAGUUACUGACGCUGAGGAGCGAAAGCAUGGGUAGCGAACAGGAUUAGAUACCCUGGUAGUCCAUGCCGUAAACGGUGGGCGCUAGGUGUAGGGGGCUUCCACGUCUUCUGUGCCGUAGCUAACGCAUUAAGCGCCCCGCCUGGGGAGUACGGCCGCAAGGCUAAAACUCAAAGGAAUUGACGGGGGCCCGCACAAGCGGCGGAGCAUGUGGAUUAAUUCGAUGCAACGCGAAGAACCUUACCUGGGCUUGACAUACACCAGAUCGCUGCAGAGAUGUAGUUUCCCUUGUGGUUGGUGUACAGGUGGUGCAUGGUUGUCGUCAGCUCGUGUCGUGAGAUGUUGGGUUAAGUCCCGCAACGAGCGCAACCCUUGUCUUAUGUUGCCAGCAUUUUAGUUGGGGACUCAUGAGAGACUGCCGGGGUUAACUCGGAGGAAGGUGGGGAUGACGUCAAAUCAUCAUGCCCCUUAUGUCCAGGGCUUCACACAUGCUACAAUGGUCGGUACAGCGCGCAGCGACACUGUGAGGUGGAGCGAAUCGCUGAAAGCCGGUCUUAGUUCGGAUUGGGGUCUGCAACUCGACCCCAUGAAGUCGGAGUCGCUAGUAAUCGUAGAUCAGCAAUGCUGCGGUGAAUACGUUCCCGGGCCU